CCAAUAGCGUAUAUUAAAGUUGUUGUGGUUAAAAAGCUCGUAGUUGAACCUUGGGCCUGGCUGGCCGGUCCGCCUCACCGCGUGCACUGGUCCGGCCGGGCCUUUCCCUCUGUGGAACCCCAUGCCCUUCACUGGGUGUGGCGGGGAAACAGGACUUUUACUUUGAAAAAAUUAGAGUGCUCCAGGCAGGCCUAUGCUCGAAUACAUUAGCAGGGAAUAAUAGAAUAGGACGUGCGGUUCUAUUUUGUUGGUUUCUAGGACCGCCGUAAUGAUUAAUAGGGACAGUCGGGGGCAUCAGUAUUCAAUUGUCAGAGGUGAAAUUCUUAGAUUUAUUGAAGACUAACUACUGCGAAAGCAUUUGCCAAGGAUGUUUUCAUUAAUCAGGAACGAAAGUUAGGGGAUCGAAGGCGAUCAGAUACCGCCCUAGUUCUAACCAUAAACGAUGCCAACCAGCGAUCCGUGGGUGUUUAUUUGAUGACUCCACGGGCAGCUUCCG
rnacentral:misc_RNA from 1 species